rnacentral:rRNA from 1 species
AACGAACGCUGGCGGCAGGCUUAACACAUGCAAGUCAAGCGCCCCGCAAGGGGAGCGGCAGACGGGUGAGUAACGCGUGGGAAUCCACCCAUCUCUACGGAAUAACGCAUGGAAACGUGUGCUAAUACCGUAUACGUCCUUCGGGAGAAAGAUUUAUCGGAGAUGGAUGAGCCCGCGUUGGAUUAGCUAGUUGGUGGGGUAAAGGCCUACCAAGGCGACGAUCCAUAGCUGGUCUGAGAGGAUGAUCAGCCACACUGGGACUGAGACACGGCCCAGACUCCUACGGGAGGCAGCAGUGGGGAAUAUUGGACAAUGGGCGCAAGCCUGAUCCAGCCAUGCCGCGUGAGUGAUGAAGGCCCUAGGGUUGUAAAGCUCUUUCACCGGUGAAGAUAAUGACGGUAACCGGAGAAGAAGCCCCGGCUAACUUCGUGCCAGCAGCCGCCGCGGUAA